ACAAUUGUCACGCCCCGAUCCUCAGACACGCACACAUCCGUCUCACUUGGUCGAUUUUAUAAUGCGAUAUCCCAAGACAAUGUAUCGCCGACCCUUUCAUUUUUAAGCACAUGCGGAAGCAGUUAAAAUCCCCAAACAAUAAAACGAUGGGAUAGAAAAGCAGGGCCAUAUUUUUCAUAUUGAAAUUUAUAACCAAACUUUUAUGCAAACCAUAAAUCACUUCAUAACUAUUCACAUCAAAAAGGAGAUCUCAAAAGAAGAUAAACUCUCAGCCAUCCGGGCCAUACUCAAGGCCCCUCUCGGGACUAUCUUCUUCUUCCAAAAAUCCUUCUCUUCAGAUCUCACCUCCGAGUUCUCCUUCUCGGAUUCCUCCUCCUCAGCUCUUCAGCGGGGUCCUGAAAUGGUUUCCCCAAACUGGGAUGAGACUACGUCUCAGUGAGUUCUACCCCACUAAGCCCGAUUAGUAAACCAAUAUACUAAAGGCUGCCUAAACACGCACAGAGCAGAUGACUUACCUUGGCCUCUGAUCCCACCUGCAAGUCAGUACAAUUCACAAUAAACAACCAUUCGCUUCAAACAAAUCGAACUAGUCGAUUACAUGUCAUACAAUUCAAUCCCCACUGUGGGAUAUUUAAAAGCUAGGCCACGUGCAUUCUCCAGGACGACCUUCCAAGUCUCCGAGCCACGUGCCUCAAACCUCGGACCCACGUGCAUUCUCUAAGGCGACCUCUUCGCCAAGGUGGUACAUCAAGCCACCGAGCCACGUGUCCUUUUUACGAUGCCCGGGCCCACGUGCAUUCUCUAAGGUACUCGCUUACCAAAGUGACGCAUCAGAUCACCGAGCCACGUGCCCUUUUAGAUGCCAUUCCGAAUACUGGACCCACGUGCAUUCUCUAAGGUACUCGCUUACCAAAGUGAUGCAUCAGAUCACUGAGCCACGUGUCCUUUUAGAUGCCUGGGCCCACGUGCAUUCUCUAAGGUACUCGCUUACCAAAGUGACGCAUCAGAUCACCGAGCCACGUGCCCUUUUAGAUGCCAAACUCUGUCACCGAGCCACGUGCAUUCUUCAGGACGACAUACCGAGUCUCCGAGCCACGUGCAUUCUCUCAGGCGACCUCUUCGCCAAGGUGACAUAUUCAACCACUGAACUCACGUGCAUUUUCCAGGUGACAUUCCAAUUCACCGAGUCCACGUGUCCUCUUUCAAGUGGUUACCAAUCUUCUUUCAAUACCGACAACCAAUGCCCAACGAUUUCUCAAUCAAAUAAUUAAAUCAACUCAACAAAGCAUUAUAAAUGCUGAAUAACAUACUUGGCCAAUCACCAAUCAAUAAUUCAAUCUCAAUCGAUUCCAAUCAAUUUAGGGUAAAUCCCUAAAAUAUCACAAUUUAUUCAAUUCCAUACAACGUAGAGCUCAAAUAAAUAAACGGACUGCGCCACGACAAUCAGCACGAGAUUUCGGUCGUCGGCCAUCAAAAUCUUAAUUUCCGAAAAAUAAUUAAUUAAUUUAUUAAUUUCGAAAAUUAAAUAAUUAAUAUUAAAAAUUCAAUUUAGCUCAAAAUAAAGCCCGAUUAACUAAACGGACUUCACCACGGUCAUCAGCACAAUAUUCCGGUCCCGAGCCAUAUCAGUUGAAUUUUCGGAAAAUAAAUAAUUUUUUAAUUUAAUUCCGAAAAUUAAUAUUUAAAUACAAAAAAAUCCACUUAGGCCCGAAAAGCCUAAUUGGAGCCCACUAAGGGUCGGGAAAAAUCCCGAGACACUUCCAAUAAUUAGUAGACCACGUCUACUUGCUAAUUGCGCAAUCAAUUUAUCUAAAUCGCAUCACAAUUGACUAAUAAUUGCUAAUUUAUUCUAAUCUAACAACCUAAACAUAAUUAAUUAAAUAUAAACCAACCUUAAGCAUAAUUAGCCAACUAAUCCAGGAUCUGAGAUUACUCACCAAAUCGCGCGCAAAUCGGAUCAAUCCGAUGGGCGGUGACGCGAGGAACGAUUGUUCCCAAAGCGACUCACGGAUCCGGGGCCCGGAAACGGCCCAAAAGCGGGCCCGAAGUCGCUGAAACCCACUCCGUGGGCUUGCUGGACGGGCCUGAUCGGGGCUGCUCCGGCGGCUAGGGCGGCGAGGGGAAGCCAGCGGAGGGCGAGGGGGACGCGGGGGUGGUCCGGCGGGGCUGGACGGUGGCCGGAGGUGGCCGGACGGAGGCUGGGCAGAGGCGAACAGAGCUGGGUCCGCUCGGGGGAAGAACGUCUGGGCGGAGGAAAGGGCCGGCGACGCACGGCGGCGAGCGGCGCGCGCAUGAGCGCGGGCGCGGGCGUGCGGUGCGGCGGCGAGACGAGCGGCGACGGCUGAGGGGCGAGCUGCUGUCUCCGAUUUUCUGCUUCUGGUUUUCGCUUGCUGGAGCGUGCAGAGGAAGAAAGAAGAAGAAGAAUACGGUCACGUGGGGGAGGAGGAAAGAGAAGAGAGAGAGAGAGAGGAGAGAGAGGAAGGGAUAGGCAUUGACCGGUCAAGGAAGGGGAGAGAGAGAGAAGUCGGUGGGGGAGUCGCACGAAGGGGGAGGGAAAGGGGAGAGGAGAGAGAGAGAAAAGAAAG
rnacentral:lncRNA from 1 species